rnacentral:rRNA from 1 species
GCAGCGACGCAGCGUGCGGGAUGACGGCCUUCGGGUUGUAAACCGCUUUCAGCAGGGAAGAAGCGCAAGUGACGGUACCUGCAGAAGAAGUACCGGCUAACUACSUGCCAGCAGCCGCGGUAAUACGUAGGGUACGAGCGUUGUCCGGAAUUAUUGGGCGUAAAGAGCUCGUAGGUGGUUGGUCACGUCUGCUGUGGAAACGCAACGCUUAACGUUGCGCGUGCAGUGGGUACGGGCUGACUAGAGUGCAGUAGGGGAGUCUGGAAUUCCUGGUGUAGCGGUGAAAUGCGCAGAUWUCAGGAGGAACACCGGUGGCGAAGGCGGGACUCUGGGCUGUAACUGACACUGAGGAGCGAAAGCAUGGGGAGCGAACAGGAUUAGAUACCCUGGUAGUCCAUGCCGUAAACGUUGGGCACUAGGUGUGGGGGGCAUUCCACGUUCUCCGCGCCGUAGCUAACGCAUUAAGUGCCCCGCCUGGGGGAGUACGG